UACGGGGGGGCAAGCGUUGUUCGGAAUUACUGGGCGUAAAGGGCUCGUAGGCGGCCAACUAAGUCGGACGUGAAAUCCCUCGGCUUAACCGGGGAACUGCGUCCGAUACUGGAUGGCUUGAGUGUGGGAGAGGGAUGCGGAAUUCCAGGUGUAGCGGUGAAAUGCGUAGAUAUCUGGAGGAACACCGGUGGCGAAGGCGGCAUCCUGGACCGGCAUUGACGCUGAGGAGCGAAAGCCAGGGGAGCAAAGCGGG
rnacentral:rRNA from 1 species